UUUGUGGGAGCAGUGGUUGUAGAUGGUUGCUUCUCUAACUGGAAGCAUGUGACAGAGAUCAGUGCUGGGUGUGUUGUUGUUUUGUUAUCUAUGUCAACAAUCUGAAUGAUAAUGUGGAUCCUGAUUACAGAUUGGCACUAUAUUUUACAACAUAGUUUUUAAUAAAGAUAUGGAGCUGUCGAGCACCUUCACUCCAUUAGUGAAAAACAGGAUUUUCUGGUGGCUGACAUUUUUAAUUCCAAUCUGCAUUACCAUUCCAAGAUGUUGAUCCAUGGCCUUCUCUGCUGGCACAAUGAGGCCACCCUCAAGACUACGCAGCCUUUAACCUGAUGGCAUGAACAUUGAGUUAUCCAACUUCCCCUGUCCUCCCCCUUUCCUCUUCUUCAAUUCCCUGCUCUGGAUCCCCUCUUACCUCUUCUCGUCACAUGCCUAUCACCUCCCCUUGAUGCCCCUUCUCCUUCCCUUUCUCCCACAGUUCACAGUCCUGUCUUAUCAGAUUCCUUCUUCUCCAGCCCUUUAACUUUUCCAGGAAUCACUUCCCAGCUUCUUACUUCACCUCCCACCCACAUUGCUUCACCUAUCACUCCUCCCCCCACCCCAACUUUCUUAUUCUGACAU